AUGCUACUAAUUUUUUAAUAGAACCUUUUGGCUUCUGAACAUAGAAAUUUGUAAGCUGCAAAGCCUAGUGGAAGAGAGGGAGAAGAGAGAGGGUUCAAAGGAAAGACUGGUUCGAGCGGCGCAAAACUUCAACUUGGAACAGUGCUCUCCAUUCAGCCGCGAGAUGGUUUGGCGGUGGCGACGAUCCACGGUUCCAUUCUUGAGGUUUUAGUUGGUGUUGAGCGAGAGAGUGAGCAAAGAAGGCCUGGAUAUCGAAGAGGAAGGUUGCACACCAAUUUUGAUAGGGUUCAUUACUUCAAGAUCAAAUAAAGUGCUCUACCUUUUUUUGUUGAUAAUCUUUGAGCACUUUGAAGGUUUCAAGUUGCAUCUCUUUGUUGUUUUAUAUUCUCUAAAAUUUGAACAUGAACCAAAUGAUAUACUAGAAUUUAAGGAAACAACAAAUCUUCUUUGUUAAGAUUGAAGUUCUUUGUAGUAGUUUUCUUAAUGAAGCAGUAGAACCAAUUGUCUCGCAGACUGGUGCAAUCCUCUUGACCCCAGAGGAGAGGAGUUGUCAGUCAAGGUGCUUAAGCCAAGGUCAGGUUAUGUGAAAGGACUCGGCAUGAGGCCUUUUUCUUCUUCUAUGAAUACAACUAUUGCACCUGCUGAAAAUAGUGACUAUAUUCAACGCCUUGAGAUGCAAAUAGCACAACAAAAUGAACAAAUUGCAAGGUUUCAAAAGUCAGAGAAGAAACAAAGGAAGAAGAUACAAAAUAUCAUAAAGUGUUUGAGGUAAAAAGGUGUGACGAGAAAUUUUGAGAGUGGGGAAAGUUUAGAUUCUGAUGGACAAGCUUCUUGAUUCGAGAUUUGAUAUGGAAAUAUUUGGUAAUUUGGAGAGCAGAAGCUAGUUCAUUUUGUGUUUUUUUUUCAUAUUGCCUUACAUGUAUUUUGGUUGCGUUGUAAAUUUUAUAUUUUUGUUGGUAUUACAGGACAUGUUUGGUAAUCCGCACUUGAUAUUUUAUUUUUGUUGGUAUUAGUAGACAUGUUUUUUGUGGAUAUGAGGAGACCUGUUUGGUAAUCCGCAUGCGGUUGAUAUUAUAUUUUUGUGAAUAUUAGUAGACAUGUUUUUUGUGGAUAUUAAGAGACAUGUUUUUAAUCCGCAUGUAGUUCAUAUUGUA